rnacentral:rRNA from 1 species
GACAGAGGGUGCAAACGUUGCUCGGAUUUACUGGGCGUAAAGCGCGUGUAGGCGGCCGACUAAGUCGGAUGUGAAAUCCCUGGGCUCAACCUAGGAACUGCAUUCGAAACUGGUCACCUAGAGUGAUGGAGAGGAAAGCGGAAUUCCCGGUGUAGAGGUGAAAUUCGUAGAUAUCGGGAGGAACACCAGUGGCGAAGGCGGCUUUCUGGACAUUUACUGACGCUGAGACGCGAAAGCGUGGGGAGCAAACAGG